UACAGAGACUGCAAGCGUUAUUCGGAUUCACUGGGCGUAAAGGGUGCGCAGGCGGUCGGGUGUGUCAGAUGUGAAAUCCCGAGGCUCAACCUCGGAACUGCGUCUGAAACUACUCGACUAGAGUACUGGAGAGGGUAACGGAAUUCACGGUGUAGCAGUGAAAUGCGUAGAUAUCGUGAGGAACACCAGAGGCGAAGGCGGUUACCUGGGCAGCAACUGACGCUGAGACACGAAAGCAUGGGGAGCAAACAGG
rnacentral:rRNA from 1 species